rnacentral:rRNA from 1 species
GAUGAACGCUGGCGGCGUGCCUAAUACAUGCAAGUCGAGCGAACGGACGAGAAGCUUGCUUUUCUGAUGUUAGCGGCGGACGGGUGAGUAACACGUGGAUAACCUACCUAUAAGACUGGGAUAACUUCGGGAAACCGGAGCUAAUACCGGAUAAUAUUUUGAACCGCAUGGUUCAAAAGUGAAAGACGGUAUUGCUGUCACUUAUAGAUGGAUCCGCGCUGCAUUAGCUAGUUGGUAAGGUAACGGCUUACCAAGGCAACGAUGCAUAGCCGACCUGAGAGGGUGAUCGGCCACACUGGAACUGAGACACGGUCCAGACUCCUACGGGAGGCAGCAGUAGGGAAUCUUCCGCAAUGGGCGAAAGCCUGACGGAGCAACGCCGCGUGAGUGAUGAAGGUCUUCGGAUCGUAAAACUCUGUUAUUAGGGAAGAACAUAUGUGUAAGUAACUGUGCACAUCUUGACGGUACCUAAUCAGAAAGCCACGGCUAACUACGUG